rnacentral:rRNA from 1 species
UACAGAGGGGGCAAGCGUUGUUCGGAAUUACUGGGCGUAAAGCGUGCGCAGGCGGUCUCUUAAGACAGGUGUGAAAUCCCCGGGCUUAACCUGGGAACUGCGCUUGUAACUGAGAGGCUUGAGUGUGCCAGAGGGGGGUGGAAUUCCACGUGGUAGCAGUGAAAUGCGUAGAGAUGUGGAGGAACACCGAUGGCGAAGGGCAGCCCCCCUGGG